AAGAGAGCUAAAAUGGCGGAGGUUGGGAGUCCCUGCUUUUACUCUGUUUGCAAACUCUUGUUUCAUUGUUUAAGCGAUUAAAUCUCUCGAGUAGACGCUGUCUCUUUAGAUGCGAGGGCAAAAUAGCACUUUAUGGACUUACACAGAGGACAUCAUGUUUAAUACGGUUCCGGAAAAAUCCAGUCAGAAGUUGUUCACGGAGUUUUCACAAUAACUGCUUCUCAUGAACCAAAGCUGGAUUUGCGCGAGGUCUCCUCUUGAAAGUUGGAUUACUGUGCACUUCUGGAUCACAGGCUAUUCGCAGCUGUACACAUCCUUCUACACUGUAUGCAAACAUGCAACAUCAUAACACACAGUACAAGGAGUCAGACUGGCAUAUGAGGAGCAAAGGAACCCAGGCAGUAGCAUCGUUUCACAAUGUUUCUAUCACCAUCAUCAGUGGAUGCCUUUGCCGUCCGUAGCCUGAGAUUUCAGAUUUGCAGCAAAAAUUUUUUGAUUUUCUCAUUUAUUGGAAUGCUGUGCAGGUAUUUGUACCUUGCAGCCAUCCAUUACAAUGUCACCAAGCCGUAACAAAAGCAGGAGGGAAAGUACAAGGCUAUGUUCCCAAAACACACAAGUGACAUACCUUAUGUGGAGGAUGUGAUCAGGCUUGUGUUUGAUGAGGUAUUUGAAGAUAAGCUGAAGGAAACCCCGAUUCCAAUGGACCUGGCAUCACAGUUUGAGAGACCUUCAAAGGAGGACGUGAUUGCAUGCCAUCUUCAGUGCA